ACUGCUCAGUAACACGUGGACAACCUGCCCAAAGGUCCGGGAUAACCCCGGGAAACUGGGGAUAAUACCGGAUAAAUCACAAGUACUGGAAGGUUUUGUGGUUGAAACUUCCGGGGCCUUUGGAUGGGUCUGCGGCGGAUUAGGUUGUUGCCGGUGUAACGUACCGUCAAGCCUGUAAUCCGUACGGGUUGUGGGAGCAAGAGCCCGGAGAUGGAUUCUGAGACACGAAUCCAGGCCCUACGGGGCGCAGCAGGCGCGAAAACUCUACAAUGCAGGCAACUGCGAUAGGGGAACAUCGAGUGAUACUCAUCUUGGGUGUCUGUCCUCCCGUCUAAAAAACGGGAGUUAGCAAGGGCCGGGCAAGACCGGUGCCAGCCGCCGCGGUAAUACCGGCGGCUCGAGUGGUGGCCGAUAUUAUUGAGUCUAAAGGGUCCGUAGCCGGCUUUGCAAGUCUUUUGGGAAAUCCAGCGGCUUAACCGUUGGUCGUCCGGGGGGUACUACAUUGCUUGGGACUGGGAGAGGUAGGAGGUACUCAGGGGGUAGGAGUGAAAUCCUGUAAUCCUUUGGGGACCACCGGUGGCGAAGGCGUCCUACCAGAACAGGUCCGACGGUGAGGGACGAAAGCUAGGGGCACGAACCGGAUUAGAUACCCGGGUAGUCCUAGCCGUAAACGAUGCUCGCUAGGUGUCACAACAGUCGUGAACUGUUGUGGUGCCGUAGGGAAGCCGUGAAGCGAGCCACUUGGGAAGUACGACCGCAAGGGUUGAAACUUAAAGGAAUUGGCGGGGGAGCAC
rnacentral:rRNA from 1 species